rnacentral:rRNA from 1 species
AGAGUUUGAUCCUGGCUCAGAUUGAACGCUGGCGGCAGGCCUAACACAUGCAAGUCGAGCGGAAACGAAGAGGUGCUUGCACCUCUGGCGUCGAGCGGCGGACGGGUGAGUAAUGCUUGGGAAUAUGCCUUAUGGUGGGGGACAACAGUUGGAAACGACUGCUAAUACCGCAUGAUGUCUACGGACCAAAGUGGGGGACCUUCGGGCCUCACGCCAUAAGAUUAGCCCAAGUGGGAUUAGCUAGUUGGUGAGGUAAUGGCUCACCAAGGCGACGAUCCCUAGCUGGUUUGAGAGGAUGAUCAGCCACACUGGGACUGAGACACGGCCCAGACUCCUACGGGAGGCAGCAGUGGGGAAUAUUGCACAAUGGGCGCAAGCCUGAUGCAGCCAUGCCGCGUGUGUGAAGAAGGCCUUCGGGUUGUAAAGCACUUUCAGUAAGGAGGAAAGGUUAAGUGUUAAUAGCACUUAGCUGUGACGUUACUUACAGAAGAAGCACCGGAGUAACUCCGGGCCAGCAGCCGCGGUAAU